UACGAAGGGGGCUAGCGUUGUUCGGAUUUACUGGGCGUAAAGCGCACGUAGGCGGAUCUUUAAGUCAGAGGUGAAAUCCCAAGGCUCAACCUUGGAACUGGCCUUUGAUACUGGGGAUCUUGAGUCCGGGAGAGGUGAGUGGAACUGCGAGUGUAGAGGUGAAAUUCGUAGAUAUUCGCAAGAACACCAGUGGCGAAGGCGGCUCACUGGCCCGGUACUGACGCUGAGGUGCGAAAGCGUGGGGAGCAAACAGGG
rnacentral:rRNA from 1 species